rnacentral:piRNA from 1 species
UUUGCAACAGUUUAACUCUGCCAGCAGCC